AACGAACGCUGGCGGCAUGCCUAACACAUGCAAGUCGAACGAGAUCUUCGGGUCUAGUGGCGCACGGGUGCGUAACGCGUGAGAAUCUGCCCUUUGGUUCGGAAUAACAGUUGGAAACGACUGCUAAUACCGGAUGAUGACGAAAGUCCAAAGAUUUAUCGCCAGAGGAUGAGCCCGCGUAGGAUUAGCUAGUUGGUGUGGUAAAGGCGCACCAAGGCGACGAUCCUUAGCUGGUCUGAGAGGAUGAUCAGCCACACUGGGACUGAGACACGGCCCAGACGCCUACGGGAGGCAGCAGUGGGGAAUAUUGGACAAUGGGCGAAAGCCUGAUCCAGCAAUGCCGCGUGAGUGAUGAGGGCCUUAGGGUUGUAAAGCUCUUUUACCCGGGAUGAUAAUGACAGUACCGGGAGAAUAAGCUCCGGCUAACUCCGUGCCAGCCGCCGCCGUAA
rnacentral:rRNA from 1 species